CUCAUGUCUCAGUAAAUCAUGGCUGCAUACAAAGCGAGGUUGCAAGAGUUUGACACGGUACUGAGCCAAGAUGUGAUAGACAUAAAGAAGGUGCGAAAGCUCUGUUUUAGCGGUGUUGGUGGUAAGGUGGAAGGAAAGUGCAACCUCUGAGGCGGAGAGUGUGUCACGAGCUGGAUUACGGGGUGUUACAUGGUGUUGUUGCCAGUACGUCUGAAACAUCUCCUUCACCACUUCAACAAGAAGAUGAAGUGUUCUGAUCAUAGAGUGGAUCAUUAUCCGACUCAGAAAAAUCAACUGGGGUAAGCUCUGAU